CCUACGGGGGGCAGCAGUGAGGAAUAUUGGUCAAUGGACGAGAGUCUGAACCAGCCAAGUAGCGUGAAGGAUGACUGCCCUAUGGGUUGUAAACUUCUUUUAUAUGGGAAUAAAACGUUCCACGUGUGGGAUUUUGUAUGUACCAUAUGAAUAAGGAUCGGCUAACUCCGUGCCAGCAGCCGCGGUAAUACGGAGGAUCCGAGCGUUAUCCGGAUUUAUUGGGUUUAAAGGGAGCGUAGGUGGAUUGUUAAGUCAGUUGUGAAAGUUUGCGGCUCAACCGUAAAAUUGCAGUUGAAACUGGCAGUCUUGAGUACAGUAGAGGUGGGCGGGAUUCGUGGUGUAGCGGUGAAAUGCUUAGAUAUCACGAAGAACUCCGAUUGCGAAGGCAGUUCACUGGACUGCAACUGACACUGAGGCUCGAAAGUGUGGGUAUCAAACAGGAUUAGAUACCCGUGUAGUC
rnacentral:rRNA from 1 species